rnacentral:rRNA from 1 species
UGCCUGAAAGCUUCGGCGCGCAAUGCGGCGGAGCGCAUUUAUUAGUACAAAACCAAUCGGGCGUUCGCCGACGGCGUUCGUCCGCCAACGGUUGGUGAAUCGGAAUAACUAUGCUGAUCGCACGGUCCAGCACCGGCGACGAAUCUUUGAAAUGACUUGCUCAUCAACUUUCGAUGGUACGCUACGUGCUUACCAUGGUGACAACGGUUAACGGAGAAUCAGGGUUCGACUCCGGAGAGGGAGCCUGAGAAACGGCUACCACAUCCAAGGAAGGCAGCAGGCACGCAAAUUACCCACUCCCAGAUCGGGGAGGUAGUGACGAAAAAUAACGGAACGUAUCUCCAUGAGACGCGUUACCGGAACGACCGAGCCGUACACAAGCUCGGCUAAUUCUAUUGGAGGGCAAGUCUGGUGCCAGCAGCCGCGGUAAUUCCAGCUCCAAUAGCGUAUAUUAAAGUUGCUGCGGUUAAACCGCUCGUAGUUGGAUUUUGGUGAACGACGACGGUCGUCCUAAGCAGGAGUC